rnacentral:rRNA from 1 species
CCUACGGGUGGCAGCAGUGAGGAAUAUUGGUCAAUGAACGCAAGUCUGAACCAGCCAUGCCGCGUGCAGGAAGACGGCCCUAUGAGUUGUAAACUGCUUUUGUACGAGGGUAAACUCACAUCCGCUUAUCUUUCUGCACGUAUCGUACGAAUAAGGAUCGGCUAACUCCGUUCCAGCCGCCGCGGUAAGACGGAGGAUUCAAGCGUUGUCCGGAUUUAUUGGGUUUAAAGGUUGCGUAGGCGGUAGGAUAAGUUAGCGGUGAAAUCCCAAGGCUCAACUCCGGAAUUGCCUCUGAUACUGGUAGGCUAGAGAGUAGUUGCGGUAGGCGGAAUGUAUGGUGUAGCGGGGAAAUGCUUAGAGAUCAUACAGAACACCGAUUGCGAAGGCAGCUUACCAAGCUAAUUCUGACGUUGAGGCACGAAAGCGUGGGGAGCAAACAGGAUUAGAUACCCGAGUAGUC